rnacentral:rRNA from 1 species
AACGAACGCUGGCGGCAUGCCUAACACAUGCAAGUCGAACGAGAACUUCGGGUCUAGUGGCGCACGGGUGCGUAACGCGUGAGAACCUGCCCUUAGGUUCGGAAUAACUCCCCGAAAGGGGUGCUAAUACCGGAUAAUGUCUUCGGACCAAAGCUUUAUCGCCUCUGGAUGGGCCCGCGUUGGAUUAGCUGGUUGGUAGGGUAAAAGCCUACCAAGGCGACGAUACAUAGCUGGUCUGAGAGGAUGAUCAGCCACACUGGGACUGAGACACGGCCCAGACUCCUACGGGAGGCAGCAGUGGGGAAUAUUGGACAAUGGGCGAGAGCCUGAGCCAGCAAUGCCGCGUAAGUGAUGAAGGCCUGAGGGUUGUAAAGCUCUUUUACCCGGGAUGAUAAUGACGGUACCGGGAGAAUAAGCUCCGGCUAACUCCGUG